CCACACACACAUUUCUGCCUGAGGGUUUUGUGUACCAGCCUUUGAAGGACUGUCCUUUUCUCCGGAGUGUCCUUUACCAUCUACCUCUGUAGGAGGUUGGGAGGAGGGCACAGAAGCUGGCCCUGGAAUCCUUGAGGAAGAAGGCAUUUGUAGGUCUUGCUGGCCGGCUCACUGCUGCAUUCAGUCAAAGGAAGGCAAAAGGCUGCUGGAGUUGGGCAAAGAGCCCUGGGUCAAACUGGGCCGGCCACUGACAACAACGGUGGCCUCCGGGGUGCAGUUGCACUUCUGGAUCUCAGUCCACUCACCGCAUGGCCUCAGGACGCCAGGGCGCUUUGGUGGACAGGGGGUAGGGACUGAAGCUUCCAAACGCCUUAAACCCCCGCCCAUGCUUCUUACGGAAAAACAAAACGGGCUUGCGAGAUCCUGCAGCGUCCGAAGACACCACUGCGCGCAACGUCACCCUCGCUCUGGAUUUGGGGGAGAGCGCACCGGACGGAGGAGGAUGGUUCGGCGUGGGCUGAGCUGGAAGGGGUUCUCUGCUCAUCCGGCCGCCGCCUUCGCGUCGCUGCCUCCCCGGCUGUGCAGCAUUUUGGGGGUGGCGGCCG
rnacentral:lncRNA from 1 species